UUGGAGAGUCUGAAAAAGUUCCCCACAAAGUCAGCGUUUGGGGUUGUAAAUCCAGUGCUGCAGCCCUGCCCACUGUUUCCAAACAUGGGGAGUAAGUGUGUGCCAGAAAAAUCAUCUCCCCAUCUUCCCUCGUGCUCCUCAGCUGAUGCUGAGCUCAUCCCAGUCUCAAAAUCCAGGGGAAAUCUGUCCUCUUGGCAGAUUGCACCUGGGUCAGGCUGACAGGAGCUGCCUCAGGCAGGAUUGACCCAUUGGGCUCUUUCUGGAGGUGCCCCAAAAUGUGCCCACAGCGCACUCAGAAGUUUUGUUUCUGUGGUAACUGAUCCUAUCCCUAACCUGUCCUGCCAUGGAGUUUUUUUCAGUGCUAACAGACAAGUAAACUAGCACUUGUGUCUCAUUUCCUUGGCAUGAAGUGACAGAGAAGCAAAAAAGAGAGGGAAAUAAAGUCUUAUCCUCAUCUUAUGCCUUGUCAGCCUCUGUGAAAUCCAGACUCCAGUGGGAUAAUUCCUGAUGUGCUCCAAGGCAAAGCAUUUCAGGAGCUGAAUCAUCUGGGGGAUCAUGAAAUGUCUCCUGGUUCCUUUCCUUUCCUCUCCCUCCCCUCCCACUCUGUGCUGUAGUUAUUAUUUUGAAACAAGCUGGAAAGUUUUUGAGAAAAACUCUUAUUGUAGAUAUCCUCAAGUCGGAACCUGGCUGAGGAUUUUUUAAAGUCCUGUCAUGAGGGAAAUGACGUCUUGGUCUAAAGAUCAGCAUAAUGCCUCCAUUGAUACUACAAUUGGCCUACACCAAAAUAUUUUGGUACCACAGAAUUAUUUACUGACACCUUUGAUUUGAUUUUGGUUUAAGAGUUUUGAUUGGGCACUCUGAAAAUUGUCCUUUGACAGAGCUGCUGCUUUUUCCUACAAACACAGAAUCCCAGAGUUGUUUAGGGUGGAAGGGACCUUAAAGAUUAUCCAGUUCCACACCCUGCCAUGGGCAGGGACACCUUCCACUAUCCCAGUUUGCUCCCAACCCUGUCCAACCUGGCCUGGAACAUUUCCAGGGAUGGAGCACCUCUCCUGUUUAAGUACAUUUAAGUCAAUGCCCCGGGCAGGGUUUAACUGGAGAGAAAAUUACCAGGAAAUAAUAAAAUUAAUGUGAUUUUAGGGUUUGGAGAUGAAGUUGGAAGCUGACACAGCUCCUGAGGUCUUCAAAGAUGGUUCAAGAUCCAGCAAGGGCUGCAGCACCUGGCUCAUGAAAUCCUCCAUUGCCAUAUCCUGUGAGGUUAGGCCGGGUUACAGACAGGAAUUCCACUUUGUCCCUGUGAGAGCCAGAGGAAAACACAAACCUUUUGGAAACCCCUGAGCUUUCCCUCAGUGACCCUUUUGCCUUGGGAAGGAGCACCCAAGUGCUGCACCAGCAGGAGGAGUGGGUGCUGUGAUGUCACCUGGGUUGUGUUGACAUGGAAUGCAGGCCAUGUCCUGAGGCAUCUGCAGGGGCAUCACUGCUCUGGGAGCUGUGGGACAGUGUUGGACCUGGGUGGAUUUGAGAUGCUGCUCCUUACCCUCUCCUGUUUAGCUUCCCUGACCAGCACUGUCCAGGCAGGUUUUGUUUCUCAGCAUUCUCAGCACAGAAGAGCUGCAGAACAUUCACUUGUGGGCUGUGGCCUCCGACCAUCCUACGAGUCCUUCCAGAAGACUGGCAAGAGGAUUGGCACAGGGACAGAUGUCAGGCCUGGGGAAUUGCCAUGGCUCGUGAGCAUCCAGAGCCAUGGGAAGCACAUCUGUGGAGGCACCAUCAUCAGUGCACUGUGGAUUCUAACUGCAGCCCACUGCUUUGCAGAUGAGCUGCCAGCAGAUCUGAGGGUGGCAGUGGGGAGAGUUGACCUCAGCUUCCCGCUGGAGGAGCACAACCCGGACAGCCUGAUCCUGCACGAGGAGUUCAACAGAACCAGCCUGCAAAACGACAUUGCCCUGAUCCUGCUCAGCAGUCCCAUCAAGUUCAGCAUGGAGAAAAUUCCCAUCUGCCUGCCCUUCGUGUGUGACAUGGACACGUGGCAGCACUGCUGGGCUGCUGGCUGGGAGGGCACAAAUGCAGCAUCCCGUGUGCUGCAGAAAGCAAGGAUGAAGCUGAUCAGCAGGGAGAAGUGCCUGAAGCACAUCCCACACCUCGUGGGGGGAACGAUGUGUGCUGAGACAGAGCAAGGAGGAGGAGAAGGAGGAGGAGGAGGAGGCUGCCAGCGUCCAAAUUCCAACCCCUCUCCUGAGAGACUGACAAGGACUGGGCUCUCCUGCAGCCUCUGGUUCCAGGGUGGACAGCGGGGGACCUCUGGUCUGCAGCUACUGGAACACCGUGAAGUGGUUCCAGGUCGGCAUCAUCAGUGGAGGAAACCCAAACCACAGGAUUUUAACACCUGUUUACAGCUACCAGGACUGGAUUGAGAAGGAAACAGCCAUAAGGGGAAAACCUUUCUUCACUGAGGGUGUGGACAGUGGAGCGCAUCUCAGGGUUGCUCGUUCCAGGGCUGGAACACAGAGCACCCACAGAGAGCUCAGCCCCUCCUCAGGUGCUGUCAAACUUCUGGGACAGAACCACUGAGGCACUGGAAGAGGUUGCCCAGAGAAGCUGGGGCUGCUCCUGGAUCCCUGGAAGUAUCCAAGGCCACUUGGAGGAACCUGGGAUAAUGGAAGGUGUCCCUGCUGUGGCAGGGGGUGGGAUGGGGUUUAAGGUUCAUUCCAACCCAAACCAUUUUGUGAUUUUGUGAUGAGAGAAGUGUUUGGGGACUAUCCAGAAAAUGCUGCCUACAAAAACCCUUCAGUCUUAUAAAUAAUCAAAAUUAAUCCUUUUCAAGUCAAUGGCAAAGCAAAAGGAAAGAGAUUUUAUUUUUUUUCCACUCUAUUAGAAGUGUUUUUUUCCUGAAUUGCUGAGAGCUUCACAUCCCAGCUCCACAUCCCAGCCUGAGCAGGUCCUCCACAUCCUUCCAUUCUACACAUGGUCCUUUAUCAAUCUCCAGCAUUCCAAACAUGUUCUGCUGUUCACAAGGAAGGUUCAGCUUUUCUUGGAAGUGAUGGGGAAGGAGAGAGGGAGCAAAGUCCCCUUCAUGUCCCACCUUUGCAUAAAAGCACCUGCAAUUUGCAGCAAUGAUAAAACCCAGUGAAUGUGCAAUGGGACAGAACCUCACAAAUUGGUUUUAAUUACCUUGAUAUUUUCUGGCUAGCUGGCAGAAAAGCCUUGUAAAUGAGAAUUAAUUCAUUUACCUUAAGCUAAUGCAAACCCAUCUUGGCAUAAAAGUCAGGCUUUAUUUUCUGUGUUAUCUGAGCAGAAAAUAAUGCUUAAUUAUUAUUAGUUCUGAGUAAUGCUUAUGAAAAUUGCUCCACAUUAAUUUCACAUGGCUGACUGGCUAAUGGAUGCAUAAGGGUCUUGUAACCCUUUGCAAAAAGACUAAUAAGAGCUAAAAACAAGGGGAAUAUAUUACUUUAACAGCUAUUAGUAGCAGACAGUGUCUGCUGGCAUUAAUACCUAUAUUUAUUUUCCUUUCUAUUAAUAAUAUAUCAACAGAUUCUGGAAGCCAUGGACGUCAGGAAAUAUUUCCUAAUGUUGCAAUCUCUUCAGCUGCGGAAUUGUUUCCCCCAGAGGAAAUGAGAGAAGUCCUCCUGCUUAAAUUAUUUUAAUGUAGGGGUUGUAUAAAGCACUUUUGUCUCCAGCACAUGGCAGGGAAAAAGCCUGGGCUUACAGGGGCCUGCAAAAUGACCCAGUAGGUCUUUUCCAUCAGAAGCAUUUGCAAAUUGAUCAUGGUCUGUGCUAAAUGAAGGCAGGGCACUGCUGCUCUGGGCUUUGAUUCAUCCUGCUCUUUAUUUAUUCAAUGGAUUUGGGGAUAAGUUUGUGCUUGGUGCCUCAAUUUCCCUGCUUGUAAAUUGAGAGCAUGAAAGAGGCUCGUGUUCCUAUGUGGAGCAUCACUUCUGCAAGUUCAGACCAGAAAUAAGCAGGGAAAACCUUUCCCUCCUUAUUUAAAACACCAUAAAACUCAGUAAACUGAAUUAAUCUCUGUUACUUCUUCCACUGUUCAAUAAUUAGGGUGAGACAGGACACGUCUGUUUAACAUUUCCAGGCUUCAAUUAGGUCUGAUGAAAACAUCUUGAUGCUGUGUUCUUUUCUGAGGGUAUUUCGGUUUUCAGGGAGUGUUCUGAUUGUGGAUUUGAUGGGAAUAUUUUGGAGUCACUCAAAAUAAAAAUGCAUAUGCUCAAUGGGACAUGUUGAUUUUUUAGCUUUCCAGCAUUGGUGUAAAUGUUCAUUCUGUUAUAGUAUUCUGUAUUUGUAGAAUCCCAAAAUGGUUUGAGUUGGAAGGGACCUUAAAGACCAUCCCAUUCCACCCCAUGCCAUGGGCAAGGACACCUUUCACCAUCCCGGGUUGCUCCAAGCCCCAUCCAACCUGGUCUGGAUACUUCCAUGGAUCCAGGGGCAGCCACAGCUUCUCUUUUGGGUUUAGAACAUCAAAGUGAUGCAUUUCCAGGCUGAAGGACCUCAACGUUUAUGCUUGAGUCUGUAGCUGGCACAGUUAAUUUUUUGUCCUAACUUACAUCUUAUUUCUUAUUGCUCCUCCCUUCUUUCCAGAGGCAGAUUUUGUUUGCAGCACUACACCUUUAGCAGCAAGUAAACAGGAUAUGGAAAUGCUUAGAGACCUGGGAAAACAUCUGUAAGAGGAUUCAGGGAGGGGAAAAAAAAUAGGAGGAUAUGAGUACUCAAGCAGAGAAAAGAGGUGGUCAGGAGCUGCUUGCACGUUUUGCUGAGGAGAUAAGAAGAAAAGCUCCCGUGAGCACUGAAGGCAGCAAUUUAAAAGCCAAUACAUCAAAGUAAUUUUGGCUUAGUUCUGCAGAGAUUAAGGGCUUUGUGUAUCCACGUGUUUCCCUGCCUGCCCAAUCCCAGCUGGCAAUCGCACGCCAGCUGGAGCAGGGAGCUGGGAGAGCUGAAGAUGAUGAUGUUUGUGCAAAUUUGGCAGCAAGAGCUGGUGGAGGUGAAGGGUGGGGAGGGCUCCAAGCACAUUUAUGUGGCUCCACCCCAGAGAAGGAAGGUGGGAAAAGCAGCAAUCCCCGCUCACAGGUAACUGCUGCUGGAGAAGUCCAACUUUUGCUCAUCCUCCUGAUGGAAGGUGCCCCUGCCCAUGGGAUGAGCCUUAAGGUCCCUUCCAACCCCAAAUAUUCCAUGAUUCUGUGAUUCAAGGGGAUGAUCCCACACCUGCCACCCAGCUCCUUCUCAGUGCAUGUCACCUGGGGGGAUCUGAAGACAAAGCAGCUGUCCCUGUAGGGGACUGAGCUUUCCCAUUUUCUCCUUUCCCAGCCUGGAUUUCUUCACAGGGGUAAAAGACACUAAAAAGCCUAGGUUUGUCUUCUCCUGCUCCCCUCAGCACCCUGAGCACCUCUUGGUCCUUGAGGAGGAGGCAGAGGGCACACAUGGUUCUGACUGUGACCAUUGCCAUCCAUUUGUCACUCCUUAUGCACUACAUGGACCGAAAUGUGAUUUUUAUUGAUAAUAAUGUAGGUUUUGAGGCGGAGACUGGGGGCUGUACAGGAUCAGAACCUGUUCCCAUAAUUCCCAGUGCUUUCACUUAUGGUUUUCAUGCCAUUUUUCAGAGUGAGAGCUCUGUUUAUCCUUCUGUAAGCAUGGGAAUAAUUAAAGAGCAGGGAUGUCCCUUGGGACACACCAGUGGUGAGAGUGAUUAAUCACUGAUAUUAAUUGAAGGUGGCUCUGGGACACAAAACACCACUGACAUUACUGAACUCCUUGAUUUGUUGAAAAAAACCCAACUGGUGAACAUUUCUGGUGUCAGGCUGAAGACACUCAGGACCAUCCCAGGUGGCUCCAAGCCCAGUCCAAACUGGCCUGGAACACUUCCAGGGAUCCAGGGGCAGCCACAGCUUCUCUGGGCAACAAGAGGAGCAGCUUGGCCACCUCUGGGCAGACCCCCCUCCUUCACUGUUCUGCCACUGGUCACUGCUCCUGGUGGUUAAUAGGGUUUGUAAAAUGGCAGCAACUGAGCUUAGAACACCCUGCAGCACCAGGAAACAUCUUCUUUUUGGGUAUUUCCAACUAUCUGCCUCCCAUGUCCUUUUCUGGGGGUGCUCUGUGCUCUCUAACAGUUCUUGUAUUCACAACUGUCCCAUGGUGACUCAUUGCUCCAAGGGCUUUUCAGUAUGGAAUUCCCUUUGUUCCCAGAGACCAAACCACUAAAACUAUUUGCCAAAGUGCAUUUGACUCCUCUGCUGCAAAGUUUGGGCUUCAACACAAUGCUGGAAUGUAAAAUUUCCUCUUUCUUAAGGCUUUUGAGCUUGUGUGUCUUAAUACCACCUCUGCAGGCAUUGACAGCAUUGUGAACAACUCCAGAGCUGCUCAUGUGCCUUGGAAAAUAAAUUGGGGAAAAUAAAGGGGGGAAAAAGGAUGAUUUAGGCACUGAGUGCAGACACAGGAGUGUUGAGAGUUUUUUUGCAGGACAAUGAACACGUACAACAUAUGCACAAUCCAGCUUUCUUAGAAAUUGAGUAAGGCCACCAUGCCCUUGAAGGACACGAGAAGAGAAGAACAUGCUCAAAAGCAGACAGUUCAGGAUGCAAAGGCAGACAAGAAAAUCACAGAAAGACGCUUGAAGAAGGAAGACUAACUAAAAUUAACUGAUAUAUUAAAAUGCAUGCUUAAAAACAUUUAACCAAUCAUGUACUAGCUUGAGGUGUGAACAACAGAAAAAAUAUAAAUAAAACUUGCUUUUUGUAAUAAAUCAGCUCCACUU